rnacentral:tRNA from 2 species
GCGCGAUUAGCUCAGCGGGAGAGCACUUCCCUGACACGGAAGGGGUCACUGGUUCAAUCCCAGUAUCGCGCACCA